AAAGUCUCUUCUUGGAAGGAGGAGUCAGCUCCACCAUGUAGCGAGUCUUGCGUCCCUGAAGGUAACGAAAGGUACGAAGCGUAGACAGCGAAAUCGACGAGCCGAAAUGGAGUGAACGGUAGUAAGCCCCGAAAUGCAUCAUGUUGUGAGAGGGCCGAUGUCUUGGGCGAGGCAGCAGGCAAUAGAUAAUUAUUGGUUCAACCUGACGAAACUCCAAUAAUUAUCCCCCACCGGGGUCACCGACGU
rnacentral:ncRNA from 1 species